GUGCUGGCUUCUUCAGCACAUGUACUAAAAUUGGAACGAUACAGAGAAGAUGAGCAUGGCCCCUGAGCAAGGGAUGGCAGGCAAAUUCACCAAGCAUUCCAUAUUUAU
ensembl:snRNA U6 U6 spliceosomal RNA